UGGUGGUGAUAAUUGUGAUGAUGAUGGUGAAGGUGAUAUGAUGGUCAUAAUGAUAGUUGCGAUAACGAUGAUAAUAUUAUCGUUAUUACCAUCAUCAUCACAUGAUGGU